rnacentral:lncRNA from 1 species
CAGAAGCCUCGGGGGAGGAGGGAGCCCCGAGGAGGACACUUCCCGAGGGCUCUGGGCCUUUUGGAGAGCUGGGAGGAAGAGGGGGGGUUCUCUUUGGAUGGUUCGUAUUCCUAGGCUGUGUCUUCACGCAAAUAUGUGGCAGUGCAGUGCUGGAAGCCCCUCGCAUGUGAGCAGUUUGUGGAUACAUGGGCCCUGCACGGGGAGCCUGGUAAAGAAUAGCAAAGGCUUAACCCGUCCUGACACAAUGCAGCCGUCCUGCGUGCAACUGAGAACGCGCGCUCACCCCUUCCCCCGGAAGAGGAAGUCAAGUCCUUGAGUGCUGUUGACUCUUCUGGUUGGCCUCUCACCUAAACGCUGUGCUGUGAGACUCUCCAAGCGGAAACGCUGUGAGCUGCCUGGAAUCUGAACUCAAUGCUUGGAGACUCAGAAGCCACUUAUAAUCAUGAAGAUGAAAGCCACAGAGCACAGCAGAUCUGAAAGAUGGAGGGACCAUGACCUCAGUCUUGGAUGCCCUACUGCAGACAUGUUAGGUAAGAAAAAAUAAAGCCGUUGCCUUACAUGAAGCUGAAUGCUACUUCAGCUAAUGGUUUAAGUAUUCGGUUUUUUUUUUUUUUAGGGGGGCCGUACCCAUGACAUAUGGAAUUUCCCAGGUUAGGGGUCAAAUUGGAGCCCCAGCCUCUGGCGUACAUCACAGCCACAACACCACCAGAUAUGAGGAGCUGCAUCUGCAACCUCUGCCACAGCUCACAGCAAUGUCAGAUCCUUAACCCACUGAGCCACAAUGGGAGCUCCUAAGUAUUCAAUCUUUAAAAACUAGGAACAGAAGCACAAUUUAAUCCUAAAUAGAGUAGGAGAAAGCAAAUAAGACAAAUUGAUAAGGUAGGAAAUGGAGAAACAAGAAUGUACAUUAAAACAUUUAAAAAUAAAACCAACAAAAUAAACAAAUCUCAAAACAAGCUUUAUUUUUUUUCCCUCAAACUAAACUGUGUUAAAAAGAAAUAGAAGAGGCUCUACCUACGCAAUAUAGAUUUAAAAAGAAACAACACAGUAACUCUGCCGUGGGGAUACAAAGCAGACAGAGCCUGAGGAAUCCUGGACAACUUAGAGACCCUGCUGUUUGAACUGCAUCAUUACCUGACAUGUAUGGUGUUCCUGCUGUAACAUCUUAUGCAGUUAAAAGUGUCAGUGGCCCUCUUUUUAAGUCAUCAGAAUUGUUGCUUGGAUUUCAGCCAGUCCUCAGGUUGAAAAAUGUAACCCACCUCGUCUGGUGAUGAGACACUUCGGGACCACACGUGCUCAUCCUCAGUUUGUUGCUCACCGUUUAGGUAGAGCGCCCUCUAGGGGGAAAGCUGUGGAAUGACAGGAGCUGCCCAGCAGAAACGGAUCUGACUAGGAACCGUGAGGUUGCGCGUUCGAUCCCUGGCCCCGCUCAUUGGGUUAAGGAUCUGACCUUGCCGUGAGCUGUGGUGUAGGUCGCAGACUUGGCUCAGAUCUGGCGUUGCUGUGGCUGUGGUGUAGACCUGCGGCUACAUCUCUGAUUUAACCCCUAGCCUGGGAACCUCCAUAUGCCACAGGUGCAGCCCUAAAAAGCAAAAAAAAAAAAAAAAAAAGUAUUUACAGAUGGCCACCGUGUCACACAACUGCUGUGGAAACAUUCCCAGAAUCCCAUGUGUGUGCCCACCUUGGAGCCGUGUGCAGCAAGGCAGCCCUCCGGGGGUACAGAUGGAGGUAGAGGUAAGAACGAGCAAAGUCAGAUCAAAGGAAGGUGACUGAGAUUCCCGAAGGUGUUUUGAGCCUGGUAUAAAAGGAGUGGAGAGAGAUUAUUGAUGGGAAAAUUAAGGGUGUGUUGCCCACAUGAGACUCACCAUUAACAAAGAUUUAGAGGCAACAGCAGGUCUCUUAUGUGCAGCGAUGCCUGGCAGACUGUCUCAGUUAAAGAAAGAAUGGUGGUACCAGACUCUCCCGGCAGAUUAGGGUGGACGGAUUUAAAGACUGGACUGGGUCCUUUGCUCACCCACAUUCAGCCUUGAUAGUUUAAUUUGGACCGCAGUGACCCCCUUUCCAGCUGUCUGCUUAAUUUCCUCCUGUAAGUAUCCACUGCUAUUCUAACUUAGACAGUUUCUCUUCUCCCUAGCCCAGUCCUGCCCUUACUCAUAACCACAGGCUCAAUCUUUUCAUCUCCCUCAUUAACUUCUUCUCGUCUGAAAUUCAGUCUUUAAGUUCUUUUGAUCUUUACCUCACAGAGUUUCUUCAGAAAAACUUCUAAGCAACCAAUGCAGAAAUUCUCAGAGUCUCCGAUUUCAGAGACUGUCUUUUAUUUUCCAUCUGAGCAGGCAAGUUCUGAACUAAAAACCACCUCCUGCUUGGUGAGACAGUGAGUGGGUUGUUGAAAACUGGUGGCAGUAGGUGAUUUUUAAUGGAUCCUACAUGUCUAUUUCUACUUUAUUAACUGUAUUAUGUUAACCUUCUUUAAGUUGCUUCAGAUAUUUGUGGAAAGCUGUGGGGCAUAGAUAAACUGAAUGUGCAAGAUGUUUUAAGAAUUGAGGAGUUCCUGUUGUGGUACAGUGGAAAGGAAUCUGACUAGGACCCGUGAGAUUGCAGGUUCGAUCCCCGGCCUUGAUUAGCGGGUUAAGGAUCUGGCCUUGCCGUGAGCUGUGUUGUAGGUCACAGACUUGGCUUGGAUCUGGCGUUGUUGUGGCUGUGGUGUAGGCUGGUUCCCUAGCAUGGGAACCUCCAUAUGCUGCAGGUGUGUCCCUAAAAAGCAAAUAAAUAAAUAAAUAAAAGAUGUUUCAAGAAUUUAGACUCCCUUUAUCUGUCUUGUCCUUUGCCAUCCCACAGCCUCUACCCCUGGCAAGGUAGGCUCCUUAUAGUGAGAGGACAGCAGAUUUACAGAUUGGUCCUUUGGUCUCUGUGUUUUGAGAUGUAUCUUUUUAUACACAGUUUGAUUCAUGUUCUUAAUCCCAGCUUUGGUUCUUCUUCUCAACUGGCCCCUGAUCUUGUUAUAUCUGGUUCUAUGUCAUGCUUUUAUUUACUCUUUCAAACAUAUGGCCCUGGUGGAAACAGAGCAGUGAAUCUACAAUAUUUUUUUGUCAUAUCCUUGGAGGUGGGUGGGGGCUUCCACGUGGUACAUGGGUUCCUGGAGUGCUAGUCCAGUGGCACCUACUUAGGGGCCCAGGCUGCUGAUUUUUGCAGUCAAUCCUCCUGUGCUGUGCUCUGAGGGAACCUAUUAUGGAUUACCUGACCCAGGUUGUCAGAAACACACACAAAGGCAAAAUAGCUGGGCUAGGACACUUUAGGGAGAUAGGGAAAUAAAAUCAGAAGAAUCUGAGGCCAAGAGACCAGAACUUAUAUACAAAAAGGAAUACAAAGACCAGAAAUGUGGAUAUACAGAGAAGGAGAAAGUCCUUGGCCUUUGGAUUAUGUGGCUCAUUCAUAGUGGGUAUUUGAAUGUUUCUUGACAUGGAAUGAAACUUGGAAUUGUGAGGAACGAUGGAACAUAUUGGAACUAUGUAGGAAAGAGUGUGAGAAAUUACUUGAGAUAUGUAAAACCACCUUAAGAGGUAUAAAAGAUGUACAGAUAAAUGCAAAGAAAACUCUCUUUGCACACGUCUUAAUUAAACCACUGAAAAC